UACGUAGGGUGCGAGCGUUGUCCGGAAUUACUGGGCGUAAAGAGCUCGUAGGUGGUUUGUCGCGUCGUCUGUGAAAUUCCGGGGCUUAACUUCGGGCGUGCAGGCGAUACGGGCAAUACUUGAGUGCUGUAGGGGAGACUGGAAUUCCUGGUGUAGCAGUGGAAUGCGCAGAUAUCAGGAGGAACACCGAUGGCGAAGGCAGGUCUCUGGGCAGUAACUGACGCUGAGGAGCGAAAGCAUGGGUAGCGAACAGGA
rnacentral:rRNA from 1 species